rnacentral:rRNA from 1 species
GACGAACGCUGGCGGCGUGCUUAACACAUGCAAGUCGAACGGAAAGGCCCCUUUGGGGGUACUCGAGUGGCGAACGGGUGAGUAACACGUGAGUAACCUGCCCUUGACUUCGGGAUAACUUCAGGAAACUGGGGCUAAUACCGGAUAGGAAUCCUUGCUGCAUGGUGGGGGUUGGAAAGCUUCGGCGGGUUUGGAUGGACUCGCGGCUUAUCAGCUUGUUGGUGGGGUAGUGGCUUACCAAGGCUUUGACGGGUAGCCGGCCUGAGAGGGCGACCGGCCACAUUGGGACUGAGAUACGGCCCAGACUCCUACGGGAGGUAGCAGUGGGGAAUAUUGCACAAUGGGCGGAAGCCUGAUGCAGCAACGCCGCGUGCGGGAUGACGGCCUUCGGGUUGUAAACCGCUUUCAGCAGGGGCGAAGCUUGUGGUGACGGUACCUGCAGAAGAAGCACCGGCUAACUACGUG